rnacentral:misc_RNA from 1 species
AAGUCGUAACAAGGUUUCCGUAGGUGAACCUGCGGAAGGAUCAUUAAUGAAUAACUUUGGCGUGGUUGUAGCUGGCUCCUUGGAGCAUGUGCACACCCGUCAUCUUUAUCUUUCCACCUGUGCACCACAUGUAGAUCUGGAUAACUCUCGCCUUCUGGCGGAAACAGGGAUUGCUGCGUCGCAAGGCCAGCUCUCCUUGAAUUUCCAGGUCUAUGUCUUUACAAACUCCAAUUGAAUGAUGAAGAAUGUAGUCAAUGGGCUCUAAGCCUAUAAAACACAAUACAACUUUCAGCAACGGAUCUCUUGGCUCUC